rnacentral:rRNA from 1 species
UACGGAGGGUGCAAGCGUUAUCCGGAAUCACUGGGUUUAAAGGGUGCGUAGGCGGCUUGAUAAGUCAGGGGUGAAAGCCCGCAGCUUAACUGCGGAACCGCCUUUGAUACUGUCGAGCUUGAAAGAGGUUGAGGUCAGCGGAACGUGACAUGUAGCGGUGAAAUGCAUAGAUAUGUCACAGAACACCGAUUGCGAAGGCAGCUGGCUGGACCUACUUUGACGCUGAGGCACGAAAGCGUGAAGAGCGAACAGG